AGUGAACGCUGGCGGUAGGCCUAACACAUGCAAGUCGAACGGCAGCACAGGAGAGCUUGCUCUCUGGGUGGCGAGUGGCGGACGGGUGAGGAAUACAUCGGAGUCUACUCUGUCGUGGGGGAUAACGUAGGGAAACUUACGCUAAUACCGCAUACGACCUACGGGUGAAAGCAGGGGACCUUCGGGCCUUGCGCGAUUGAAUGAGCCGAUGUCGGAUUAGCUAGUUGGCGAGGUAAAGGCCCACCAAGGCGACGAUCCGUAGCUGGUCUGAGAGGAUGAUCAGCCACACUGGAACUGAGACACGGUCCAGACUCCUACGGGAGGCAGCAGUGGGGAAUAUUGGACAAUGGGCGCAAGCCUGAUCCAGCCAUACCGCGUGGGUGAAGAAGGCCUUCGGGUUGUAAAGCCCUUUUGUUGGGAAAGAAAUCCAGCUGGCCAAUACCCGGUUGGGAUGACGGUACCCAAAGAAUAAGCACCGGCUAACUUCGUGCCAGCCGCCGCCGUAA
rnacentral:rRNA from 1 species